rnacentral:rRNA from 1 species
GUCCACGCUGUAAACUAUGGGUGCUAGAUAUUGGAGCUUAAGUUUCAGUGUCGUAGCUAACGCGUUAAGCACCCCGCCUGGGGAGUACGGUCGCAAGAUUAAAACUCAAAGGAAUUGACUGGGACCCCGCACAAGUGGUGGAGCAUGUGGUUUAAUUCGAUGCUACGCGAAAACCUUACCACCUUUUGACAUCCCUCCUACCGGAUAUUAUAAUAGAUAUCCUUCAGUUCGGCUGGGGAGGAGACAGGUGUUGCAUGGCUGUCGU